GAUACCAGUCACCUGCAGGGACAUCAUCAAACACAUAGUUACACCCUGCAUUUAGACUCUAAUAUUGUAUGGCUGUUUAUAUAUCGGUUUAUAUUUAGUGAACACUUACAAGUGGGACAUCCCCGGGUUCUCCCUUCUGUCCCUGAAUAAACAGAUAAAUGGGAAAAACCUUUCAAACACACACUCCAUGACGGUGACAAUAUCUGCAAACAUCAUGACAAAGCAGCGACGGCCGACAUCACGAAACUGUGGCCUACCUUAUAGAUCCUGCCGCCGCCGCCGCCUCCUACAUUGAGGGGAAAAGCACACGAGAUCUCAGUACUUGUUCACCGUACCACAGCUGCACCGUGAGUUUGUCAGGUAUGGCUUCGAAAGUCAGCAGUAAAUCAUCAGUGUGAAAACGACGGUGAAGCCGCUCUGAAGACAUUCAUUUGUCAUCAUUAAGCAGAAAGUAGCAAAUCAAAAGGAUUUCACUUCUCAACCCAAGAAAUGGCCACAGAGAGCAGCCUGCUCGCUCACCAAAAGUGUCCUGCCCGCCGGUGCUGGCUGAAUCAGUCUGGCAAACAGGGCAGCACUCGCCCUCGGGGAUGACCACCUUCUCACAGUUAGACAGCUCAUCGCACUGGAUUUCAUCGCACAGGACCUGGCCGUUGUCGCAAACACAGAUCCGGCAUGGCUCUGGCUUCCAGAUGUCCCUGUUGGUGUACACCUGGCCGUCCGCCGUGCAGCUCAUGUCAUCUCCUGGAACACACAGACGCGGAGGACACUCUUAGUUUAUCAACUUUGUGUCACAGUUACAUUAAUGGCAAAAGCGAGUAAAGGACAGGGAUUUUCUAAACCUUGUUAAUCCGCUAAGGGUUUGCCAAACACACCUGUUCUUUAUUAUGAUCGUUAUGAGACUUUUCCUAAUUUCCAGAGACUGCAGACAAGACAGGACAAAGUGUUCAUAAGCAGCAAGUGUCAGCAAUUUACUGAAAAAAACAAUGUCAAACUAUUUUACUAAUGAAGAUACGAGGUCACAAGGAAGGCAUCGCUUGUUCUUGAACCUUUCAACGAGGUAAACAGACAAUAAACAUUCAUUCAUCCUC